rnacentral:lncRNA from 1 species
GGUAUUCAACACUGACAUAACUCCUCCACUGCUCCACUAGUGUGCUGGCCAGCAGUGGACCACCUACAGAAGCAAUAUGUAGGAAAAGCCUUCAGACAUGUAAGUGCCUCCCACUGACCCCCCUCAUCUCCCCUUCAAAUUAGUUAAGCAAAUAAUGAACACAUGUCCUGACCCCCACCUUCAAUUUAAACGGACACAGAUCAGCCUCUGGGCACAUGGGCAUUCUUCCAGACUUCAGUGAACUGGACACCAGGCCCUGGAGACAUUAGGAAGAACAAACUGAACAUCGUUGUCCGGUCCUGCAGGGCUCUGGCAUGGGGGAGCUGAUAAGGGAAAAACUUGUGUUCAUCUUCCUUCUUGGUUGCUUGAUUCAAAAAUGCUUUGCCACCGUGCAACACUCCCAGAGUAAGUACAGUAUAACCUCCAUUUUAAACAUCCUUUAGUUUUCAUUUUUUACGUGGUACU